UGCGUCAGCCAUACGGUACACGUUCAAAUUACGCACAGACGUCGUGUUGGUCGGCUUGCUUAAAUAUCCGAUUUUUUCGCUAAAACCCCAAAUCUUUUUCAUUUUCAUUUGAACCCCGCACGUUUUGAAAUGUAUAUCGCGUCAAUGGAUAUGACCAAUUCUCAACACAUGGACGCCGUGCGGUUAAACUUGAAGCCUGCAACCAAGCUACGGUGGACACAACUUCGCGUGGCAGCAGAGGAGGACGAGGCCUUCGGAGAUUGUCGACGCAGCGCCGCCGGUGUCAAGUCCACGGGUACCAGGAAGAGCCAGGGACGGGACCGCCGUCGAAAGUUGACCAACGGCCCUUACAAAGUGGAGACGAGAGAGGAGCGACGACUUGCGGCUUGUCCUGGGCGACUUCACCCGGGAGCAAUGGCGCCGGAGAACACGACGCAGUACUUGAUAAGAGAGCAUGAAGACAACAUGGCGACGAGUAGCAAAAACCGCGAGAACGAAACUCCUCCGCCCGGACUUUGAGGAAAUGUUUGGCCCGUGUUGGUAGCACCCAUGACGGAAUGACGAAGCAGCAACUUUUCCCCCCUCGGAAAAGUGAGCGCCCCGUAGGGAGUGCUAUUCCCCCAGAAAAAGCCUCCCGCCGCCCCGGCCCCUCUCGACGAGCGAGCGGAGCAAAAGGCACCUGAGCUGGCGGUGUGGCCACUGCUUGAAAAGUCAGGUAACCAAGCAGCAAAAGGGCAGGUAUUGUUGCACUGCUUUGUCCUUCAAUGGUGCCAUGCAACCCUCUGUCACUGUGAGCGUUUUCCAGGUCAGCCCUGCCUAUCUGCCCACCGGGGACCGCAGGCUCUGCUGCGGGAGACCCAGGAGCCUCCUGAAAGGUGACUUUAAUCAAAUCAAAGACAUUAUUUUUGGUCUGAGCUCGAUAACGAGAGUCGCGGAUCGGUUAUGGAUCAUGUUUAUUCUGUAAAUGCGCUUGGCGUGGAGCAAUGUUAAUCGGGAUUUAUUAUGAGUGUGCAGUUUGUCAAAAAUAAAAGCACAAGAUUUAUACUGAAA